rnacentral:rRNA from 1 species
GACGAACGCUGGCGGCGUGCUUAACACAUGCAAGUCGAACGGAAAGGCCCCCACCUUGGUGGGGGUGCUCGAGUGGCGAACGGGUGAGUAACACGUGGGUGAUCUGCCCUGUACUUCGGGAUAAGCUUGGGAAACUGGGUCUAAUACCGGAUAGGACCAUGGUUUAGUGUCUCAUGGUGGAAAAAUUAUUGUUUUGGUGCAGGAUGAGCUCGCGGCCUAUCAGCUUGUUGUUGGGGUAAUGGCCUACCAAGGCGUCGACGGGUAGCCGGCCUGAGAGGGUGGCCGGCCAGAUUGUGAGUGAGGGACGGCACAGACACCUACGGGAGGCAGAAGGGGGGAAUAUUGCACAAUGGGCGCAAGCCUGAUGCAGCGACGCCGCGUGGGGGAUGACGGCCUUCGGGUUGUAACCUCCUUUCGUUAGGGACGAAGCCACACCUUUUUUGGGUGUGGUGACGGUACCUUUGUGAAGAAGCACCGGCUAACUACGUG